GCGGUAUACGUAGGCGCAAGCGUAUCCGGAAUUAUGGGCGUAAGAGCUCGUAGGCGGUUUGUCGCGUCUGCUGUGAAAGCCCGGGGCUCAACCCCGGGUCUGCAGUGGGUACGGGCAGACUAGAGUGAUGUAGGGGAGACUGGAAUUCCUGGUGUAGCGGUGAAAUGCGCAGAUAUCAGGAGGAACACCGAUGGCGAAGGCAGGUCUCUGGGCAUUAACUGACGCUGAGGAGCGAAAGCAUGGGGAGCGAACAGGAUUAGAUACCCUGGUAGUCCAUGCCGUAAACGUUGGGCACUAGGUGUGGGGGACAUUCCACGUUUUCCGCGCCGUAGCUAACGCAUUAAGUGCCCCGCCUGGGGAGUACGGCCGCAAGGCUAAAACUCAAAGGAAUUGACGGGGGCCCGCACAAGCGGCGGAGCAUGCGGAUUAAUUCGAUGCAACGCGAAGAACCUUACCAAGGCUUGACAUGAACCGGUAAAGCGUAGAAAUACGCUCCCCACUUGUGGCCGGUUUACAGGUGGUGCAUGGUUGUCGUCAGCUCGUGUCGUGAGAUGUUGGGUUAAGUCCCGCAACGAGCGCAACCCUCGUUCUAUGUUGCCAGCGGGUUAUGCCGGGGACUCAUAGGAGACUGCCGGGGUCAACUCGGAGGAAGGUGGGGACGACGUCAAAUCAUCAUGCCCCUUAUGUCUUGGGCUUCACGCAUGCUACAAUGGCCGGUACAAAGGGUUGCGAUACUGUGAGGUGGAGCUAAUCCCAAAAAGCCGGUCUCAGUUCGGAUUGAGGUCUGCAACUCGACCUCAUGAAGUUGGAGUCGCUAGUAAUCGCAGAUCAGCAACGCUGCGGUGAAUACGUUCCCGGGCCUUGUACACACCGCCCGUCAAGUCACGAAAGUUGGUAACACCCGAAGCCGGUGGCCUAACCCCUUGUGGGAGGGAGCCGUCGAA
rnacentral:rRNA from 1 species